AGGGUGUAGAUUUAACGUCCGUUUUUCUUCCCUCUUGUCUGACUUGUCAAACUUGACUUAUCUUCGUCGUGGCUGCUGGCGAAAAGAAAAGGGGGAGAGGGGAGUCACCCUUAAAGGAAAACUACAAACCACCCUAAGAUGGCCGAGGUGAGCAGGAUUGCGAGCAGGACUGCGCGAGUGAGCGGCCUGCGGGCAGACGGCUCCUUGAGCAAUUAACCCGCCACUUCCUGCGAUCCAGAAACGGCGGAGGGGAAAUAGAGUCUGUUCGAGUGGACCCAACGAACCCCAACUGUGCCCUGGUUUAAAGACACUGCAGUGGCCCAGACUCAACCAUGACCCACUGCAAAGUCAAUUUCAGCCUGCCUGGUCACAACAAGCACGCCACCAUCAAGGUCACCUACCUGGGAUACAAAAAGUGGGUGUUAGCCCUUUGUAAAAAUACAUCAUAAUCAUCAUACGAUUUGCUCUGAAUGAUUGCCAGGAGCGUCAAGGGCAUUAUGCGUAAAUCCUAUUUUGCCUGCCUGCUGGUAAUUGUACUAUGAACUGUAUACAUUUGUGGCUUGAAUCUAAAAGUGAAGAAAUGAGUUCAUGCUUUCUUUUCAUUGCAUGUUUUUGCACUCAAAAAUUCCUCCGUGUCGUAAAGUUAAGCCAAUUGUGAAGGACAAUGAGAUGUUCUGCCUGUAAUUAAUAUCUUUGUUGUUGCAAAUGUUAAAAAGAACUUAAUCAA